GAUUUUCCGCAGAUUGAACGAAUUGACAAAAACGCGAUCCUUGUGUUCUCCAAAGAGGUCGGUCAGAGAAUUGGACAGGUGAAAGGAAGUCGAUGGCCAUAGAUGCAGUGGAAGAUUCCUCGAUUCCCUCUCCCUCUUCUUCGUAUUCCAUUCCCAGUCAACCGCGUCACUUCUACGUCGCCGUCGACCGUCUCCAGUUCAAGAUGGAGACGCUGGUGGAUUUGCUGGGCGUCGCGGGUCGGCGGCCGGGCCUGCCGGUGGUGGUGUCCUGCAGCUCUCGCGACGAGCUCGACGCCGUCUGCUGCGCCAUCUCCAAUCUCCCUUUCAUCUCUCUGGCCUCUCUGUACAGUGACCUGGCUGAAACCGAACGUGCUCUUGUUCUUGAUGGGUUUCGGCAGUCCACUUUGCAUUGGAACCAAAGUGUUGUUGUCCAAUCUGGAAAUGACAUAAAAGCAGUUGAAGACGUUGAGCAAAAGUCUCAUAUUGUUGUUGUUACGGAUGCUUGCCUCCCACUUCUAACUUCUGGGGAGUCGCCACUUUCUGCGCGAGUUUUAAUCAAUUAUGAGUUGCCAACAAAAAAGGAAACAUAUAUGAGGCGAAUGGCAGCUUGUUUGGCAGCUGAUGGGAUUGUCAUCAACAUGAUUGUUGGGGGUGAAGUGGUAAUUCUGAAAAGCCUGGAAGAAAGUAGCAAUAUUCUCAUAGCUGAGAUGCCUAUCAACGUUUCGGAGAUAUUGUGAAGAUCUUUGAAUCAAACCGAAAUGCAUGCGACUUCCUUUGGCUGCAACUGGUUGAUGAGGUUCUUGUGCUCACAAGUGUUGCUUUAUGAGCAGUUGCUAUGAAUCGUUGAGGCAUAAACGUGUGUAGACUAUGUAUGAGAUUGAAUCACCAUGUUUUGGUACCAUGCAUAGUUUUUUGCUGUUCCUCAGUGGAUUCACAUCGCUCUCUCAUGGUGUAUAAGCUUUGUUUCUGGUCUCCAACCUAAUGACGUCCAGAGAAUGUCAAGCUGCGUGUUAAAUUGCUCGUCAUAGUCAUUGCCAUCGCCAUCCCUAUCGCUCUACCAAUACAAUGACUUCUCUCUUUUGCCA